UACAGAGGAUGCAAGCGUUAUCCGGAAUGAUUGGGCGUAAAGCGUCUGUAGGUGGCUUUUUAAGUCCGCCGUCAAAUCCCAGGGCUCAACUCUGGACAGGCGGUGGAAACUACCAAGCUGGAGUACGGUAGGGGCAGAGGGAAUUUCCGGUGGAGCGGUGAAAUGCGUAGAGAUCCGGAAGAACACCGGUGGCGAAGGCGGUUAGCUGGGCAGUUGCUGACACUGAGGCGCGACAGCGUGGGGAGCAAACAGG
rnacentral:rRNA from 1 species